GGGGGGGGCAAGCGUUGUUCGGAAUUACUGGGCGUAAAGGGCGUGAAGGCGGCCAACUAAGUCAGACGUGAAAUCCCUAGGCUCAACCUAGGAACUGCGUCUGAUACUGGAUGGCUUGAAUUCGGGAGAGGGAUGCAGAAUUCCAGGUGUAGCGGUGAAAUGCGUAGAUAUCUGGAGGAAUACCGGUGGCGAAGGCGGCAUCCUGGACCGACAUUGACGCUGUAGCGCGAAAGCUAGGGGAGCAAACGGGAUUAGAUACCCCGGUAGUCCUAGCCCUAAACGAUGAAUGCUUGGUGUGACGGGUAUCGAUCCCUGUCGUGCCGAAGCUAACGCAUUAAGCAUUCCGCCUGGGGAGUACGGUCGCAAGGCUG
rnacentral:rRNA from 1 species